ACCUGACGACGCAACGCCGCGUGGAGGACGAAGAUCCUCGGGUCGUAAACUCCUGUCGAGCGGGAAGAACACUUCCGGGCCAAUAGUCCGGAGGGUUGACGGUACCGCUAAAGGAAGCCCCGGCUAACUCCGUGCCAGCAGCCGCGGUAAUACGGGGGGGCAAGCGUUGUUCGGAAUUACUGGGCGUAAAGGGCUCGUAGGCGGCCGACUAAGUCGGAUGUGAAAUCCCCAGGCUUAACCUGGGAACUGCAUCCGAUACUGGAUGGCUUGAAUUCGGGAGAGGGAUGCAGAAUUCCAGGUGUAGCGGUGAAAUGCGUAGAUAUCUGGAGGAAUACCGGUGGCGAAGGCGGCAUCCUGGACCGACAUUGACGCUGAGGAGCGAAAGCCAGGGGAGCAAACGGGAUUAGAUACCCCGGUAGUCCUGGCCCUAAACGAUGAAUGCUUGGUGUGGCGGGUAUCGAUCCCUGCCGUGCCGAAGCUAACGCAUUAAGCAUUCCGCCUGGGGAGUACGGUCGCAAGGCUG
rnacentral:rRNA from 1 species